AGUGAACGCUGGCGGUAGGCCUAACACAUGCAAGUCGAACGGCAGCACAGUAGGAGCUUGCUCUUACGGGUGGCGAGUGGCGGACGGGUGAGGAAUACAUCGGAAUCUACUUUUUCGUGGGGGAUAACGUAGGGAAACUUACGCUAAUACCGCAUACGACCUACGGGUGAAAGCAGGGGAUCUUCGGACCUUGCGCGAUUGAAUGAGCCGAUGUCGGAUUAGCUAGUUGGCGGGGUAAAGGCCCACCAAGGCGACGAUCCGUAGCUGGUCUGAGAGGAUGAUCAGCCACACUGGAACUGAGACACGGUCCAGACUCCUACGGGAGGCAGCAGUGGGGGAUAUUGGACAAUGGGCGCAAGCCUGAUCCAGCCAUACCGCGUGGGUGAAGAAGGCCUUCGGGUUGUAAAGCCCUUUUGUUGGGAAAGAAAAGCAGCAGGUUAAUACCCCGCUGUUCUGACGGUACCCAAAGAAUAAGCACCGGCUAACUUCGUG
rnacentral:rRNA from 1 species